rnacentral:rRNA from 3 species
UGCCAGCGAUUAGGUCGGGAACUCAAAGGAGACUGCCAGUGAUAAACUGGAGGAAGGUGGGGAUGACGUCAAGUCAUCAUGGCCCUUACGACCAGGGCUACACACGUGCUACAAUGGCGCAUACAAAGAGAAGCGACCUCGCGAGAGCAAGCGGACCUCAUAAAGUGCGUCGUAGUCCGGAUUGGAGUCUGCAACUCGACUCCAUGAAGUCGGAAUCGCUAGUAAUCGUGGAUCAGAAUGCCACGGUGAAUACGUUCCCGGGCCUUGUACACACCGCCCGUCACACCAUGGGAGUGGGUUGCAAAAGAAGUAGGUAGCUUAACCUUCGGGAGGGCGCUUACCACUUUGUGAUUCAUGACUGGGGUGAAGUCGUAACAAGGUAACCGUAGGGGAACCUGCGGUUGGAUCACCUCCUUACCUUAAAGAA